rnacentral:rRNA from 1 species
GACGAACGCUGGCGGCGUGCUUAACACAUGCAAGUCGUACGGAAAGGCCCUUCUUUUGUGGUGUGCUUGAGUGGCGAACGGGUGAGUAACACGUGAGUAACCUGCCCUUGACUUUGGGAUAACUUCGGGAAACUGGGGCUAAUACCGGAUACGAGCUCCUGCUGCAUGGUGUGGUUUGGAAAGUUUCGGCGGUUGGGGAUGGACUCGCGGCUUAUCAGCUUGUUUGUGGGGUAGUGGCUUACCAAGGCUGUGACGGGUAGCCGGCCGGAGAGGGUGAACGGCGACAUGGGGAAUGAGAUAAGGCGAAGAAUCAGACGGGAGGCAGCAGUGGGGAAUAUUGCACAAUGGGCGGAAGCCUGAUGCAGCAACGACGCGUGCGGGAUGACGACCUUCGGGUUGUAAACCGCUAUCGCCUGUGACGAAGCGUGAGUGACGGUAAUGGGUAAAGAAGCACCGGCUAACUACGUG